GACGAACGCUGGCGGCGUGCCUAAUACAUGCAAGUAGAACGCUGAAGGAGGAGCUUGCUUCUCCGGAUGAGUUGCGAACGGGUGAGUAACGCGUAGGUAACCUGCCUGGUAGCGGGGGAUAACUAUUGGAAACGAUAGCUAAUACCGCAUAAGAGUAGAUGUCGCAUGACAUUUGCUUAAAAGGUGCAACUGCACCACUACCAGAUGGACCUGCGUUGUAUUAGCUAGUUGGUGAGGUAACGGCUCACCAAGGCAUCGAUACAUAGCCGACCUGAGAGGGUGAUCGGCCACACUGGGAAUGAGAAACGGCCCAGACUCCUACGGGAGGCAGCAGUAGGGAAUCGUCGGCAAUGGACGGAAGUCUGACCGAGCAACGCCGCGUGAGUGAAGAAGGGUUUCGGAUCGUAAAGCUCUGUUGUAAGAGAAGAACGAGUGUGAGAGUGGAAAGUUCACACUGUGACGGUAUCUUACCAGAAAGGGACGGCUAACUACGUG
rnacentral:rRNA from 1 species